CUUUCUAACAGGAACUCCGGGCUGAUGUGGAGAAGGGCAGGGGAAAAUUGCCUCCCGGAUGAGGUAUACGGCAAGAGCAGGUGUUUGGCAGCGAAGAAGGAGGUUGGAGGAAAUCAGAAGUGUUUCAGCCCCUUGAAGCUUUCUGGUACCUGGAAGCCUCCUCACUUCCACCUAGCGUCUUUCACCACUGCCCAUAGCCACCUGAAGUUCACGUAUGUUACAAUAUCAGGCGUGAGCUGUGCUCCAGCACGCGCUGAUGGGAAUAGUCCGAGAAGACUGGCUACAGAAGGCAUUACCUGCCACGUAAGGUAUCUGUGUGACCUUCCUUUCUGAAGAGUGGCUUUUUUUCUUCAACAUUCAUUAUUUCCGAGAGCCCGUGGGCUCGGCAGCAAAUUGCAGUGAUGUUUCAGGAUUGACUGCUUGAAUGUUCUGUUUUUCAGUUUUAGCUGCUAGGGAGGAUUUCAGCAGGUUUUCAGCUAGGUUAGCUGGGGAUCACCGCGCUUCUCUUCUGCAGUGGUCAGGCAGCCCAGCUGAGCUGAUGUUACGUGGUGCCCAACCUUCUUUCAGGUGUCAGCAGAAGCACUGGCAACAUCCAAAGAAAUAAGCGCAGACUCGUAUGCCAGAGGAUGGCUCCAGAAAUGGCUUGGUGUUUUAUUAACACAUCAGAAGGCUAUUGCCGUGGAUUUGUUGGUUCUCUGGUUAUACAAAAACUGCUAGAAGAGCCUCUCUGAGGCACCAUCAGAAAACCAGCUCCGUGUGAAAGCAUCUUCAUGGAGAAAGUCUGUCAGCUGUUCAGUAUGGCUUGUUUUCAAAUCUUCUUGAGAACGAACGUUGUUGCUUUUAAUCUACAAGUGGAUGCGGGGUUUAAUAGAGGCUUAAUGCCUGAAUGGCUUGCAGUCUUGUUCAGUCAGCUGUUGAGACGUAAGUAGGAGUAACAGGGAAUUGCAGAGGAGGUGUCCACGUGCAAACCUUGUAAAUCACUGUUUUGGGGGUGUGUGUGUGUGUAAAUUCUUAGAAAGGGGGAAUGAAAAGCAAACAAACAUGAAAACGAGAGUGGAAAAAGUAGUUUUAACGCUUCGAUGUCAACUCCUCCAUCCAGGGAUUUCAUCUGUGCUGCUGCUACUGGCCCAUUUUGGUGCAUAGUAAGAACAAUUCUUCUAGCUGCCAAUCAACCAUUUUCUUUUCGAUAAUUAUUCACAUUGCUGUAGAAACGGAAAUUAUCCCUAUUUUCUCACUUUCCAGUGGAAAACUGUAGUUGCAGCUGCUCCCUCCCCCCGCUUGGAAGUUUUACACGCUAAGAGUCACCAGCCAGCCUUGCCUUAAAUCAAAUCUUCCCAUGCAGCCUGGAUGCAAAUCUAGCAAGCACAGCAGCUGUCUGCUCUUAGCAAGGGGAAAAGCAACACGUUUCUUCAGCCACUGGCUAGGGAACUCCUGCUCAAAAAAGAGGGCUACGCCUUGUCUGAUGCCUUUAUAAAGUUAUAGGAGACAGUUUCCUGCGGGCUUUCACAGAUACUGCUAAUCAUCUUAAACUGAAACAGGGCUUCCAAAAACAGCAUGUAAAUCCCCAUAACACACCUUCAAUUUCUGUCUCCAAGGCUACCCAGCUGCCCUGAUCCUCUGUGACAGGCUCGAAAUGCCAUGAUGCUUCCUUUUGAACUGCUCCUUGCCCACUUUUCAAGCCCUCUUUACUCCCAGACCUCCCCACGGGCAGAAGCCCCGCUAGCUCUUGGCUUGCCUUGCUUGCUGGGGACAAGGAUUCACAGCACUGCUGCCCCGUGCUGGGUGAUGAGCAAUGGGACAUCUGUGUAACAGGGGAUACUAGGCUCUCUACUGUCCUGCAGCUCAGUGGAACUGAUUUCCACAGGGGCAUGAGAAGAGCUGGAGCCCCUGAAUGGUCCUGCCCUGCCCAGUUGUGCUCACCCAUCUGCACAAAAGCUGGGUCCAAAAGGCUCUUUAAAACCAUGUUAAUAGCAUUUUUCAUGCUGCUUUUACUGAACCUCCUCAUUCUGCUCUAAGCCAUGCAGUUCACGAAUGGCAGCUAUUCCCCAGUCAGGGAAGCGCAUUUUGGGGGACACGGUGUACGUAGCCUUACUGGACAUUUUUCAGUGAUUUUAUAUGCAGAUACUGCCUUCUCACAGUGAACCAAAUUCUGCCCUCUCC
rnacentral:lncRNA from 7 species